rnacentral:lncRNA from 1 species
GAAUACCGUUAGUAAUGAUGACCGUGCUUGAAAGUCACAUGUAAAGCUCUUUCUGCCGUGUCCUGAAUUUAGAUAACAAAAACGAAAAUAAGCUUCCACGAGUGAAUUUAAUAGUAUUGCAUGCAAGUAGUAUUUUAGCACACGAAAUAGUAAAUAGAAAGCAUCUCACUGAUACUCAGGAAAAGAAUACGCAUUUGCGUCAUCACAUAUCUUAAUCUAAUAGUUGAAAUCGAAUGUCAAACGGCC